UACGAAGGGGGCUAGCGUUGCUCGGAAUCACUGGGCGUAAAGGGUGCGUAGGCGGGUCUUUAAGUCAGGGGUGAAAUCCUGGAGCUCAACUCCAGAACUGCCUUUGAUACUGAAGAUCUUGAGUUCGGGAGAGGUGAGUGGAACUGCGAGUGUAGAGGUGAAAUUCGUAGAUAUUCGCAAGAACACCAGUGGCGAAGGCGGCUCACUGGACACAUAUUGACGCUGAGGUGCGAAAGCGUGGGGAGCAAACAGG
rnacentral:rRNA from 1 species